CGUGGGGACGGAUGGCAGACACAGGUAGCGCCCACCCGAAAGCAUGGGGAAUCCCGAAUCCAUGGGAGGUGCGGGGGUGCCCUGGAGGGUGGGCCCUGUAUGCCCGCCUUCGCUAGCUUCCCAUCCUGGCUCAGGGCUUUCACAACUCGCUCGCCCAAACUGUACCUCUUUAUUUCUCUUUAAGCAGCUGUGAACAGCUGGUCUUAUCUAAUCGCAGCUGAAGCUAGAGUCCUGGACCAACGCCAAACUCUAGCGUCCCCACCGACUUCUGAAACACCUUAUCGGACAUCUUUCAGGUCCCUCGAUUGCCACUCUGUGUGUGUGUGUGUGUAAGGAGGUUUAAUAACCUCUAGGACCCCGACUCUCUCGCUGACCCUUCUGUGUGUGUCCUAGUACCUAAGUAUGUUUGUGGGUUACAAGGUCACUUUAUUACGAUGUCUUAUUUAGUUAUGAAUGAGGACACUACUCUUGAGCAAGAUCUACAUGACAUUUCCGUCUUGACUGAAACUCAGCCGUAGUGGAGUAUGCUUUUCCCUGUUAGAUGGACUUUUCAUUUCGGCCUUUGAUGACCAUAUCACUCUUGGGGAUGAGUCUCUGAAGCCUGUGGGGGUCUUACCGAGAUCCGUAGUCUUCAGAGACAGGACCCAUGGUCUUGCUGCCUCAAAUCACUGAUGGGUUCCCUGAUCUGGCCCCAGCCCCGCCCCUCUUGUUGUAGGAAACAGGUGAAGAGGCUUAGAUAAAUGACAUUCCCAAGUAGUUUUCCACCUAGCAGCCUGGGCUGGCUAGCACACGCUCGGCUAACUAGAAUAGUUUUUAUUUCUUGACCUCUGCCAUUUUAUCUUUCUCACGUUCUAAUGUUACCUUUUUUUAAAAAUGGGAAAACCUAGGGAGUUCCAGUCAUUUACUGUUGUUUUAAUUGCGGAUGCGGUGUGCGCAGGAUCCGAUCUUGGAUACUCCGUAAAGGGGAGCUUGCAGGAAGAAGGAAUGUGGUGAAAUGAAUUUAAAAAAUAACUCUAAGCAGGAGGACUGUCUUGGUCUCUUGAGCUUUUGGCAAUACACAGAAUUCCUGGUGACUUUUCUGUGAGUGGACUUUCAAAAUGUAGGUGAAGGGAGGGCUGGGUGUGGGUGGCACAUACCUGCAGUCCCAGUUUCUUGGAAGACUAAGGUGGGACAAUGACUUGAGCAGCCCACGGAGCUGAGACCAGCUAGGACAACACCCUGUAGCACCGGCUGGUCUUGAAGAAUGCACAGCAGUCUUCCUUAUGGCCUCAGUUUCCCGAGUGCUGGGAUUAUAGCUGCCUUGCUACAGAUGGGAAAGCCAGAGCGUGCCCUCCUGCAGUCACCCGCCUUUUAGAGCAAGCCUGAUUUUUUUAAUUUCUUUGUGGGGCGUUUGCUUUUCCUCCCACUCUUUGUUAGUGCUUCCUAGACUCUUGAACUGAUAGCUGCCCGGACAGAUGACGGGCAGCCCAUGUGAUAUGCCUUCCUAGGAUUUCGGUGAAAUUAUAACACAGUUUGGAUGUGGGCUGUCAAUCAGCCUAGACACCUGCUGUUAUUGUGGCUGUCUCCUGCACGUGUGUGUUCUUUCAGUGCUCACGUUGGCAAGAACAUGCUGACACUAAGUAAAACUAACCUGCCACAGA